rnacentral:misc_RNA from 1 species
GCACUGGCAACUUCAUUUCCUAUCAGAAGAUCAAGCAAAUUGUGACAAGGAACUUCAAGCUUCUUCUCUUUCAUUCUUGUGAACCGUCAAAGCUGCCUUGCGCGUUUGCCCGCUUUCUUUCUCUCCAGUUUUCACCCCAUACUUUUGCUUCUGCAACUGCACGUUCUCUGUUUAGGUCGCGGUUCCUUGGUGUUUCCCUUGCUCUCCCAGUAUAUACAGGACUGUCUCGCAGAGAUUCUUGUCGCUCUAGCUCAUCCAAUCCCCAUUUUCG